GCCCCUGUCGUUCAACGGAUAGGACGCGAGUUUCCUAAACUUGAAAUCCAGGUUCGAUUCCUGGUGGGGGCA
rnacentral:tRNA from 1 species